AUUGAACGCUGGCGGCAGGCCUAACACAUGCAAGUCGAGCGGAUGAAGGGAGCUUGCUCCUGGAUUCAGCGGCGGACGGGUGAGUAAUGCCUAGGAAUCUGCCUGGUCGUGGGGGAUAACGUCCGGAAACGGGCGCUAAUACCGCAUACGACCUGAUGGAGAAAGUGGGGGAUCUUCGGACCUCACGCUAUCAGAUGAGCCUAGGUCGGAUUAGCUAGUUGGUGGGGUAAAGGCCUACCAAGGCGACGAUCCGUAACUGGUCUGAGAGGAUGAUCAGGCACACUGGAACUGAGACACGGUCCAGACUCCUACGGGAGGCAGCAGUGGGGAAUAUUGGGCAAUGGGCGAAAGCCUGAUCCAGCCAUGCCGCGUGUGUGAAGAAGGUCUUCGGAUUGUAAAGCACUUUAAGUUGGGAGGAAGGGAAGUAAGUUAAUACAUUGCUGUUUUGACGGUACCAACAGAAUAAGCCCCGGCUAACUUCGUG
rnacentral:rRNA from 1 species